rnacentral:rRNA from 1 species
UACAGAGGUCUCAAGCGUUGUUCGGAUUCAUUGGGCGUAAAGGGUGCGUAGGCGGCGCGGUAAGUCGGGUGUGAAAUCUCGGAGCUUAACUCCGAAACUGCAUUCGAUACUGCCGUGCUUGAGGACUGGAGAGGAGACUGGAAUUUACGGUGUAGCGGUGAAAUGCGUAGAUAUCGUAAGGAAGACCAGUGGCGAAGGCGGGUCUCUGGACAGUUCCUGACACUGAGACACGAAGGCCAGGGGAGAAAACGGG